AAGAAAACAAAAAAAGGUGCUAAAGAAAAAACACCAGAUGAGAAAAAAGAUGAAAUAGAAAAAAUAAAAGCAUAUCCCUAUAUGGAAGGCGAACCUGAGGAUGAUGUCUAUUUAAAACGCUUAUACCCGAGACAGAUAUAUGAGGUGGAGAAAGCUGUUCACUUACUUAAGAAAUUUCAAAUUCUUGACUUUACUAGUCCAAAGCAAAGUGUUUAUCUUGAUUUGACACUGGAUAUGGCACUGGGAAAGAAGAAAAACGUGGAGCCAUUUACCAGUGUUCUUAGUUUGCCAUACCCAUUUGCUUCCGAAAUCAAUAAAGUUGCUGUAUUUACAGAGAAUGCAUCAGAGGUCAAAAUAGCAGAAGAAAAUGGAGCUGCAUUUGCAGGAGGCACUAGUCUGAUACAGAAGAUUUGGGAUGAUGAAAUUGUUGCCGACUUUUACGUAGCUGUUCCAGAAAUAAUGCCUGAACUUAAUCGAUUAAGGAAGAAACUGAAUAAAAAAUAUCCAAAGCUUUCUCGAAAUUUUAAACUGCCUAUGGGUAGUUGCUUUCACUUAUAGCGGUAGUGCUCCUGAGCCAACUGAACAACUGUUGAGAUAAUCCUAGGAAUAAUGUAUGCUGAGGGUAUGCCAUGCUCUCUAUGUAAUGAGUUCCUCACAUUGAUUCAUCUAUGGAAGACUUGCUUGAGCAUGGUGGGAGUGAUGUCUCUUCAGUGGCACAGUCUUCAUUCUAUUUCUUACCCUUUAAAUAAUUCACAUUUUUCAGUGCAUGGAAUUAAAUUUUCAAGAUUCCAUUGGCCGUGACAUCCCCAAAAUGCUUGAAUUAUUUAAAAAU
rnacentral:sRNA from 1 species